rnacentral:misc_RNA from 1 species
GUGAGUCCUCUCUGGGGUCAU